CCCAAAUAAACUCAUACUACAACAACCUGUUGAUAAAUAAGUUAACAUCUAUUGAUGAUAAAAGUAAAUUAAAUUUUUAUAAAGCACUUGAGCCAAAUCUAUUGAUCAAACCUUACCUCUCUAACCCAAACUUUGAAUUUAGAAAAUUAAUUACAAAACUUAGAAUCAGUGACCAUUCAUUAUUAAUUGAAAAAGGGAGGCAUUUUAAAAUUCCUCGCGAAGAGAGACUUUGCAAAAAAUGUAAAGUACUAGAUGAUGAGAAACAUUUCCUAAUAAAUUGUUCUCAUAAUUCAAAUAUUAGAUUAACAUAUUUUGAUUGCAUUAAUAGAGAAAGUAAUUUAUUUGCUAAUCUCACUGACAAUGACAAAGUUAUAUAUAUACUUAACCCAUCAACACCAACACAAGUGAAUAAACUAGGAUCCUUUAUAAAAAAGUCAAUGGAACUGAGGACAGGGGACCCUUUAAUAUUUACCUGAAUUUGUGUAUAUAUAUUGAGUUACUUAGUUAUUGUCUUUAUUUGUUUUUGUUGUUGUUAUAUGUCACAAACUGUAAAGUUUAUAUGGCAAUAAAACUUUGAAUUGAAUUGAAUUGAAUUGUUAUUUAA
rnacentral:lncRNA from 1 species